rnacentral:misc_RNA from 1 species
GAUGAAGAAUGCAGCGAAAUGCGAUAAGUAGUGUGAAUUGCAGAAUUCAGUGAAUCAUCGAAUCUUUGAACGCACAUUGCGCCCCUUGGUAUCCCGAGGGGCAUGCCUGUUCGAGCGUCAUUUCACCACUCAAGCCUGGCUUGGUGUUGGGCGACGUCCCCUUUGGGGACGCGCCUCGAAACGCUCGGCGGCGUGGCACCGACUUUAAGCGUAGCAGAAUCUUUCGCUUUGGAAGUCGGGGCCCCGUCUGCCGGAAGACCUACUCGCAAGGUUGACCUCGGAUCAGGCAGGGAUACCCGCUGAACUUAAGCAUAUCAAUAAGCGGAGGA